UAUUUGCCUCCCCCUGAGCUGUAGAGCCCAAAGGGAAGAUGAGAAGCAAGUCCUGCUGAUAUGGAUGCGGAUCACAUUUGCGUGACUCAGAGCUGUGGGGACAGUGGUUCUUUCAACUGCUCCUUAUGUGAAGAAUUUCUCCAGGAUUCAUCAUUCCAUCUGGAUCUGUAUAAAUAAAGCUGAAGUUCUGGUCAUGACCACUCCCUGGAUCACUCCUGCCCCUGUGUUCCUGGA
rnacentral:lncRNA from 10 species